rnacentral:rRNA from 1 species
AUUGAACGCUGGCGGCAUGCCUUACACAUGCAAGUCGAACGGUAACAGGGAGCUUGCUCCGCUGACGAGUGGCGAACGGGUGAGUAAUGUAUCGGAACGUACCAUUCAGUGGGGGAUAACGUAGCGAAAGUUACGCUAAUACCGCAUAUUCUGUGAGCAGGAAAGCAGGGGAUCGCAAGGCCUUGCGCGGACGGAGCGGCCGAUGGCAGAUUAGGUAGUUGGUGGGAUAAAAGCUUACCAAGCCGACGAUCUGUAGCUGGUCUGAGAGGACGACCAGCCACACUGGGACUGAGACACGGCCCAGACUCCUACGGGAGGCAGCAGUGGGGAAUUUUGGACAAUGGGCGCAAGCCUGAUCCAGCCAUGCCGCGUGCAGGAUGAAGGCCUUCGGGUUGUAAACUGCUUUUGUACGGAACGAAAAGACUCUUUCUAAUAAAGAGGUACCAUGACGGUACCGUAAGAAUAAGCACCGGCUAACUACGUGCCAGCAGCCG